UACAUGGGGUGCAAACGUUGCUCGGAAUUAUUGGGCGUAAAGCGCACGUAGGCGGUUCGUUAAGUCGGAUGUGAAAGCCCUCGGCUCAACUGAGGAAGUGCACCCGAAACUGGCGAGCUUAGAGUACUGAAAGAGGAUCGCGGAAUUCCCGGUGUAGAGGUGAAAUUCGUAGAUAUCGGGAGGAACACCGGUGGCGAAGGCG
rnacentral:rRNA from 1 species